rnacentral:rRNA from 1 species
UGGGGAAUAUUGGACAAUGGGCGAAAGCCUGAUCCAGCCAUGCCGCGUGUGUGAAGAAGGUCUUCGGAUUGUAAAGCACUUUAAGUUGGGAGGAAGGGCAGUAAGCGAAUACCUUGCUGUUUUGACGUUACCGACAGAAUAAGCACCGGCUAACUCUGUGCCAGCAGCCGCGGUAAUACAGAGGGUGCAAGCGUUAAUCGGAAUUACUGGGCGUAAAGCGCGCGUAGGUGGUUCGUUAAGUUGAAUGUGAAAGCCCCGGGCUCAACCUGGGAACUGCAUCCAAAACUGGCGAGCUAGAGUAGGGCAGAGGGUUGUGGAAUUUCCUGUGUAGCGGAGAAAUGCGUAGAUAUAGGAAGGAACACCAGUGGCGAAGGCGACCACCUGGGCUCAUACUGACACUGAGGUGCGAAAGCGUGGGGAGCAAACAGG